AUUUUCUCCAUGGCAGGUGAUGAACUUACUGAAGCUCUUGAAGCAGAAGGCAAGAAAACAAACGAAGCAGAUUAUAAAUGCGAAAGAAGAGAAGUUGAAUUGUUUUGAGGAGAGUAGGGAAGAUAUGGAGAGGCAUACGGAUACAAUCAUAUUUAUAACAAGAAAGGAAUUGGGUAUUUUAAAAAUGGAAAGAAAUAUCAUAGAAAGUAAUUAAGCAUUUUGUAAGUUCGUAUCGUGGGUUUUGGGGUCGGGACUUUGAAUCGCUCUAGUUUUUUUCAGUUGGGUGUGAAACAGCAUGAACAGCGUCGUCGGGCGUUUGAAUGGAGAUUUCCAGAGGUAAAAGUAAAUUGCCGCGCACGCAAUUUCCGAACCAAAAUGGACUCUGCCGCGGCCGGGGAUAUGCUUUUGCUCAGUUUUAAAAUGG
rnacentral:misc_RNA from 1 species